CCAUAGCCCGGAUGGAAGCGACAUCCUUUUAUGGCGGUCCCGAUAGCUAUCGGGAGCCAUAAAAGAUAUAGCGGACAGCCGGAUUAGCU
rnacentral:sRNA from 1 species